UACGGAGGGUGCAAGCGUUGUCCGGAUUUAUUGGGUUUAAAGGGUGCGUAGGCGGGCUAAUAAGUCAGUGGUGAAAGACUCACGCUUAACGUGAGCAGUGCCAUUGAUACUGUUAGUCUUGAAUCAAGUGGAGGUUGUUGGAACGGAUGGUGUAGCGGUGAAAUGCAUAGAUAUCAUCCAGAACACCGAUUGCGAAGGCAGAUGACUGUACUUGUAUUGACGCUGAGGCACGAAAGCAUGGGUAGCAAACAGG
rnacentral:rRNA from 1 species